rnacentral:tRNA from 12 species
UAUUAGCUCAGUUGGUUAGAGCGCACCCCUGAUAAGGGUGAGGUCUCUGGUUCGAGUCCGG